rnacentral:rRNA from 1 species
UACGUAGGGUGCGAGCGUUGUCCGGAAUUAUUGGGCGUAAAGAGCUUGUAGGCGGUUUGUCGCGUCUGCUGUGAAAAUCCGGGGCUCAACCCCGGACUUGCAGUGGGUACGGGCAGACUAGAGUGUGGUAGGGGAGACUGGAAUUCCUGGUGUAGCGGUGAAAUGCGCAGAUAUCAGGAGGAACACCGAUGGCGAAGGCAGGUCUCUGGGCCAAGACUGACGCUGAGGCGCGACAGCGUGGGGAGCAAACAGG